AUUUCAGACCCAUCGACCGCAAUAAGAUGAUAGCCCUUAUAUAAAUUAUCAGGUGGAAAUGCUUUAUUCAGUUCAUUCAAAAUAUAUUGAAAAACACGUGAAGAAAUUUUAGAACGUGCCUGGACAAGUGCAGAGGCAGUUGGGGGAUUAUUUGAGUAAUGGAAAAAAUCAAGUAGUUCUUCCCGGAUAGGCUUACCCGCCAUUGAUAAGAUGAAUGAAAUAGUAUCUUUAAAAGAUAGCUUUCUAGAUUUACGAGUGAAAUCAGAACUUUCAUGUGUGACAAAAUGUUGAUCAUAUUUCAAACGAUCCGCCUUAUUUAAAAUCUUAUCCAAAGAAUUGAAAAGUGUUUUAUGGAUAGAGAUCAUACCACAAUCCCCUCAAUUCUUUUAUCAGAUAUGAAGGUAGAACAAGCAUUGAAAUUAUUACUAAGGAUCAUAUAAGAUCACCUCCUAUACCUUACAAAAGCGCGAAGUGUAACGGAGCGCACGAUUUUUCUGAUUUUGUCAAGCCUAAAUAAAAAAGACACCUAUACUUUUUGUAUAAAUGUCUCUCAUCUAUUUUUCUUUAACUUAAUGACAUUGACUGUGAUGUACCCAAUAAAUUUACUGAUUGAAGUAAAAGCCGUCGAAGGUGUAUUUAUAAACCCGGUAAAUAUACUUUUCACCCUCCAUGGUAAAGGAACGAAUCAGCGUAUGGUCACUGUCAUAUUCCUGGAAAUUAAAUGCCAUACCACUGUCCACAACAGUAUUGCCACCGAUAUUCUGCACGCUGGAUACAUAGGGAGAAUACGGAACAUCAAAUGUAUCCACAAGCUCAUAGGUGCCCUUGCUUUCAUCUACCAGAUAUUUGUAAUAUUUGCUAACAGCAUCCUCUGCCUUCACCUCGGUAGGGAUAUUCAGCUGACUCCAGUCAUAGGCUGUAUUCGUGGAAGAGUAUCCGAAAUUAUUAUUGAACAUAUACAGAU
rnacentral:rRNA from 1 species